AACUCAAAUGAAUUGACGGGGGCCCGCACAAGCGGUGGAGCAUGUGGUUUAAUUCGAUGCAACGCGAAGAACCUUACCUGGUCUUGACAUCCACGGAAGUUUUCAGAGAUGAGAAUGUGCCUUCGGGAACCGUGAGACAGGUGCUGCAUGGCUGUCGUCAGCUCGUGUUGUGAAAUGUUGGGUUAAGUCCCGCAACGAGCGCAACCCUUAUCCUUUGUUGCCAGC
rnacentral:rRNA from 1 species